UCUCCUGAGCCUCCUGGUCCCUUCGUUCAGAACCUGGCUGAUUCUUGGACGAAGCCUGAUCUACGGGCCUGUCCAUUGUCUCCGGGGGAGUCCCGUGGGUCCUGCUCACCAGCCAUCCCACCAGGGAUGAUGGUAGAAUACUUGGGUACCCAGUUCAGGGCAUUUCUCCCUACCCCCAGGGUCACUGUGUCCCGUAGAAGCAGUGUAUUGUGUAUUGGAUAACCCGAGUGUUCUCCAUGGCUCUGUCGGUCCAGAGCCUUUGGGUUUCCUGUGUCUGGAAACCUAAUUCAAUUGAUAUUGUUGAAGUCUCACUCAUGAGCCUGCUGCUGGGCCCUCGUUCAGAAGGAAGCUGAUUGCUGUCCCUGCCUGGUAUGUGGGUCGUUCUGGUGCGCCCAGGGGAGUCCAGUGGGGCCUGCUCACCAGCCUUCCCGCCAGGGAUGAUGUGACAAUUCCAGUGUACCUACGUUCAGGGUAUUUUCCCCCAUCCCCCAGCUCGCUGUGGCCCGUGAAACAAGAGUUGGGUGAAAGCUCUCAUGCUCUCCUUGGUUUUGGUGCUCCAGAGUCCUUUUGAUCCUUCCGUUUGGAAUCCUAAAUCCAUGCCUAUUGUUGAAAAGCCUCUCUUGAGCUGAUGCCGGCCCUCUUGGGGAGCAGGCUGCUUACUAGCCCCAGCCUGAUCUGUGGGACGUUCCAGUGCCUCCUGGGGAGUCCCGUGGGUCCUGCUGACCAGCCAUCCCACCACGGAUGAUGUGAAAAUGAACUUGUCCGUACAGUCAGGGCAUUUCUCCCCAUCCCCGAGUUCACUGUGGCCGAUGAAAACAGAGGUCUAGGAAAGCUUGUGCGCUCUCCUUGGAUUUGGUGCUUCAGAUUCUUUUGCUUUUUUCUGUGGAAACCUAAUUCCAUUGAUAUUGUUGAAAUCUCUCUCAUGAGCCCGCUCCCUGUCGUCUUCGUACUCAGGCUUUUCCCUGGCCCCAGCCUGAACUGUGGCCCGUUCUAGUGCCCCUGGGAAGUCCCGUGGGUCCUGCCGACCAGCCAUCCCACCAGGAAUGAUGUAAGAAGACGAGUGUACCUACGUUCAGGGCAUGUCUCCUUAUGCCUAGGUUCGCUGUGGCUGAUGAAAGCAGAGUUCUGGGAAACCCCGCCUGGUCUCCUUGGCUUGGGUGCCCCAGAGUCCUUUGGUUUCUUCUUUUUGGAAUGCUAAUUCCGUUGAUAUUGUUGAAAUCGGUCUCGUGAGCCUGCCUCGGGGCCCUCUUUCCGAAGCAGGCUGAUUUCUCACAACAGCCUCAUCUGUCGCUCUUUCUGUUGCCUCCUCGGGAGUCCCCUGGAUCCUGCUGACCAGCCGCCAACCAGCGAUGAUGUGAGAAUACCAGUGGACCUACGUUCAGGGCUUUUCUCCACGUCCCCCUGUUCGCUGUGGCGGAUGAAACCAGGUUUCCGGGAGGGCCCGCAUGCUCCCCUGCCUUUGGGGCUCCAGACUCCUUUGGUGUCCUGCGUUUGGAAACCAUAUCCAUUGAUACUGUUGGAAUCUCUUUCGUGAGCCUGCUGCCUGGACCUCUUUCCGAAACAGGCUGGCAGGCAACAGUGUCCGAUGAAAGCAAAAUGUUUGGAAACCAUGCCUUUUCUCCUUGGCUUUGCUCUGCAGUAAUCCCUUGUUUUCCACACCUGGUAUCCUAAUUCCAUCCAUAUUGUUGGACUAUCUGACGUGAAGCUACGAGAGCUACGGCCUAGCCCCCUUUCAGCAGGCCGAUUGCCCCCUGCAGAGUGAUCUGUGGAGUGCAGGGCUCCUGGGGCAGUCCCGUGGGCCGUGCCUCACCUGGUGUGCCCACCGGGCAUAUGUGAGCACGUGCGCACUUGGCAGUCCCUUCGCCCCGUCCCCAUGUUCCCUGUGGCAGCGGAACCCACAGUCUUCAGGAAGAGCAGCUGCGCUUGCUGGCUUUGCUGAUGCAAACGACCCUUCUUUCGUGUAUCUGCUAUCCCCGUUCCGUUCGUGUACAUGCCAUGCCUCUUCUGAAUUUGGUGUCCUGGCCUCUUUAGCAGCCUGCUCCCUUUGUGCUGGCCUGAUCAAGGCAUUUCUGAUGCCCUUCUUCAAAAAGUGGAACGUUGAAGCCGAAUCUCGUGCGGGUUGAAUGUUGAGAUUCCCAAAAGGAAGCGAUGCAGAGAGUAGUUUUCUCCAACUUCGGCUCUCGAGGCCUCCUGGGAGGGCUUCUCGCAGAACCACGUUGCCUCCAGCCAUCCCUCCGUCCUUCUGAUUAGCUUCAGAGCCUGGGCAAGGUAUGAGCGUGUGACCAUCUUGCAAGAAGGGAACCGAGGAUCGCAAACACCUGAUUUUCUUCAGGCCACACCGCCAGUUGGCGGCAGGGCUGGGCAGGGCUCGGCAGGGGUACGCCAUGCUCCCCGAGGUCUCCUAGAAUGAUGGGAAGACUCACGUCGCCUACUGUGGUGCCUCCAGCUACAGGAUGGCCGAAGGCCCUGCGGAUUGCCCGUGGCACGUUUCUCUUCGGGGGCCAGGUGUGCAACCAGGCCCCGCGCCGCCGUGCUGGCAGCUGAGGGUCUGAGAGGACUUUGCUUGGGCCACGGGACAAAGAAGUGUCAGACGUCCGAGUGGGACCUGGAGAGCCGGGACCCGGAACCCGUGCUCCUGAGCGGGAUGGAGUGGAGGUUUCCCGGCACGCAGAGGUGCUGCCUGGUCCGUGUCCUCCCGGGCGGGGCGGCGUCUUGUCCGAGGUGCCCCUGAGGCCACAGCAGUGCGCAGCCACCACUGCUUUGUGGUCUCCUGUCAGAAAGGACGUGACGGCCCCGGGGGUUGCGUGCAGGUAGAGGCCUGGUGAGUGAAGGUCUCGUGGGUCAGUCGUACGCCCGGAAGCCUGCAUCCGAGUGGAUGUUGCAAGCGGCAGCUCCUCCACGUUGGCGUCUGGCCCGAGACCGCCGCGGCCGAAGGCAGAAGCUGGGGACUUGCGCGUGUGAAGUGAGGGGACGCACGGUCUUGCCAGAGGACCUGGCCACGGGCGGUGCUGCAGCCAUCGGCCCUUCGCUCAGCGAGGCGAUGUCGACGGGCUGAGAGCCUGUGCCGGCCGUUGCCGG